GACGAACGCUGGCGGCGUGCUUAACACAUGCAAGUCGAACGGAAAGGCCUGCUUUCCCUUGUGGCUUGCGGGUACUCGAGUGGCUAACUGGUGAGUAACACGUGAGUGAUCUGCCCCCAACUUGGGUAUAAGCCUGGGAAACUGGGUCUAAUUCCCGAUAGGACUGCAGGGUGGUGCCUGUGGUGGAACACGAUCUUCUCGUGGUUGGGGAGGAGCUCGCGGGCUAGUAGCUUGUUGGUGGGGUAAUGGCCUACCAAGGCGGCGACGGGUAGCCGGCCUGGGAGGGCGGACGGGCACAUUGGGACUGAGACACGGCCCAGACUCAUACGGGAGGCAGCAGUGGGGAAUAUUGGACGAUGGGCGGAAGCCUGAUGCAGCGACGCCGCGUGGGGGAUGACGGACUUCGGGUUGUAAACUGCUGUCGACAGCGAGGAAGCCACCUGGUUGGAAGGGUGGUGACGGUAGUGGUAGAAGAAGCACCGGCUAACUACGUG
rnacentral:rRNA from 1 species